GCCGCAGAUAUAUCUGUGCUAAGGUAGCACAAUAAUUAGCUUCCUAACUAGAAGAUAGAAUGAAAGGAUAAACGACUUAAUAAUUUUUCCUUCGUUAUACAAUAAAAUUAACCAAAAAGUAAAAAAGCUUUUAUAAAAAAGAAAGACAAUAAGACCCUAUAGAACUUUAAUACUAAUAUUUUUGCUGGGGCAGCAAAAAAUCAAAACUUUUAUCCAUGCACCUAUAAGGACCUAAAAAACUUAAUCAUUAAAACAAGCUACCUUAGGGAUAACAGCGCUAUUUUACUUCAUAGUUCUUAUAAAAAGUAAACUUUACGACCUCGAUGUUGAAUUAAUUUAACUUUAUUAAGUAAAAAUAAUAAAAGUAAGUCUGUUCGACUUUUAAAAACUUACAUGAUUUGAGUUCAGACCGGUGCAAACCAGGUCAGAUUAUAUCUUCUUUAAUAAAUUAACAGUACGAAAGGACCUUAAUAUAAAUA
rnacentral:rRNA from 1 species